rnacentral:snoRNA from 1 species
CCUGCCCCUAGAGGUUUUGUAGGUAUGGCUGCAGUAUCACAUGUGUGCCAGUAGGUGGCAGAGAGGACGGAGGCUGUGUCUAAGCUC